CCGAGUAAAAGUCUAAUCGAGUUUAAUAAUCCAUUGUCCACAAUGGUUAUACCCUACUAAACACCACUACUGAGAAUGAAUGUUUGCCGGCAUGUUGAGGUGUGUGUUUUGUGUGUGUGUGUGAUUGUGUGUGCAUUCCUAAAUUCGGAGAGGACGUGUUUACUUGGAAAGGAACCCGCAGAGACGGGCGCAGCCAAGCUUCCCAUGUGAGAAAGCGCCGGGUGAGCAGCGCCAAGGUGCUAAUCAACUCAGGCAGACGGAAGACUGCAGUUUGGAGCCCACAGAGUUUGGCAGCAGAAGCUGAUGGCCAGAAAAAUCCUCUCUACACUCCAUUGGUCACUCACAGGGAAGUGGAGAGGUCGUGGACAAAGUACAAGGGGCAGUGCAGCACCCCACCACCGGAAUGAUUGCUCUCUCUGAGGGGAAGGUUUGUACGCCGGUGGCUCUUCUCCGCUGUCAGUGUGUAAAUGCCCUCUGCAUGUCACGAAUCGCCUCCGGAUCAAAUAAAAACCUGCAAAUAUUUUCUGCCUCCAAAGCCGAGCAUCUUUAAAGGAACCUGGAGGACCCCCACAAGCAAAGACUACAGAAUACCCUUAAAGGGACUUUGCCACAAGCCUCGGCGUAAACCCGGCACCACGGUCCAAAGAAUCUCUCAUCAAGGCGUUCAUUUACCGCCCCACACCCGCAAGCACACAGCAGCAGUCAGCGGUUGCGCCGCCCUGUGGAAGCUGAGGGAGUAGCAUGCAGGCGAGGGAGUCUGGAUGCAUGCAGCUUGAAUUUUCCAGCACUGUUGGUCUGUAUGAUGUUUGAUCGUUCACUAUGGGACCGCCUUGGGUUUGCUUAAGAUGCAGUGCUGCCAGCUUCAUUAUUGAAAGACCCUCCCAAAACACUCAACCCAAUAUGAAAUGAAGAAGUGCCAUAAAUCGCACGGUGAAGUUUCUGCGAGGAGCAGCAGGUCUCCGUGGUGAAGGUCUGAAGAAUGAGCUCAGGCUGUCAUUCUACUGUAGCUGCUGUGUUUCCAGGGGAAAUAAGCUGAGAGAGUGGACAGUAAUGACAGUCAGGACUGGACCUUAGGUGUGUGUGUAAUAUAAAUGUGUUUGCACCAAACCUCAUUAUUAAUUACUGCAGUGUUGUAUUGCAUUGUGCAGUAUGCAUUAAAGGGAUAGUUCACCCACAAACAAAGAUACUUUGAAGAAUGUAAAUUAAAAUUUUUGGGUGAACUAGCCCUUUAAAUCUGAAACUACAGAGUUUUUGAAAUCUGUCAUUAUUGUUUUUCCACGUCACACUUAUAAGAACUGGAGGAGAAAUGUGGUUAAUUGUGAGGAAAAGAAUGCAUUUUCAGGCUUUGUUUUAAACCAAACAAAUGUCUUAUUUCUUUCUUUUGAUUUUCAGGAUAAAUCUAGCAUGUGCAUCUGUCCUUGAAGCUGUCGAGCAGCAGGACAUGGAUUUGUUGUUGAGGUUUCGCUGCUUGCGCUUGAGCCUGACAACUUAAGAUGAGGUGUUUUGCACUUAAAAACACACAUACACUCUUAAAAAUAAAGGUGCUUCACGAUGCCA
ensembl:lncRNA